UGGUGCCUAGGAACCGCAGCUCUGGAGCAAGGCCCCAAUAUGCUAGCUGGAAGUGGUGAGGCUUUUGUAACAGAGACUGAGCCCAUCCUUUCAGAAGCAUAUACCAAAUCUGCCCAGGAGCCACCUAACAGACUGUGCUGUCUAAUGGCUAGAGCAGAGAACAAGGAGCCAGGACCCUUGGCAUUGACUCACUUCGUGACCUUGAGUAUGUGGUACUUCCUGAAACAACUGUAACUCUGAUUGGCUGCUCUUGUAUGACAUCAGAGCCUACAAAAGCACAUACCUCAAAAGACGUCACUGCAGGGCCAUUCAACAGGAGGAUGGGAAUGCCAUCAUCUCUACUUCCUUCCAACACCAUUAUGGUAUCUGCCUCCCAGCAGGCCCCUGGUGAGGUGCUGCCUCAGUUACUCAUACUCCAAGAUUUAUGCCACAAAGACUUUCAAAGGCAGAUUGUCUAGAGAAGAACAGAUGGAGGGAACAGCCCUCCUGCCCAGGGUUUGCACCAGAACUACAGACAGGGAGCUUGUUAUCUGACUUUGGGAUUUAUAAGAGCAAAUCUGUGCUACGCUCUGCGGGGGAAGGGCUGGGCCACUGGCUGGCUCAGGUGGUGGGUGUAUUUCACGCCAAUGUCCCUGGCGCUGUUCCAGACUGUGGACAAAAGUCAUUCCCUUGGAGCUGUUCAGUGGUCCAUGUGUGAAAUGAACUGAUGGCUGCAAUCUGGUUCCUAGUGGCCAGGUCCACAACAGAGGGGUCACUAUCUCCAUGGGCACGAAUUGUCCCCCUUGUUGGAGGCCUGAGAAGAGAGACCAAAGAUUGACUGGGCCACGGAGACCAAAUUCCCCUCUUGGCCCCAGAGGCAAGGCACAUUGUUGUAGUGAUGGGGAGCUGCUUGUGCUGCCAGGCUGUACCUACUCUGUGAUAAACAGAUCAGCUGAGUCUCCAGGGCUGUCAAUCUGGCACCCUUAACCUUUCACCAGCACAAAAUUCUCUGUAAAAUGGAAAAAGUGAUUUCUUGAAAGCAAACUAAUCCCCAGUCAUAUCAACGAGUCACUUAGCUCCCAAUCUCUCACUCUCUGCGUUCUGCAUCUCAGGGAACAUUCAAAGGAAAACAAUGUGACUGUUAAUUACAAACUGUUUUGAAUGCAUGGAAAAACCAUUUCAAAGAUGAAGCCAGACGAAGAUAGGGAGCCUGAGAAUACUGCAUGUGCCUAAACGCUUUAAAGGGUGGAAAGUUCUAUUGUAAUUAAGGCUGAUGCAAUCACUGUAACAGAUGCAAGGUAGAAAUGUUCCCUUGUUUGGCUUUCCCCCUCUCUCUGCUGUGCACAUUGGGUUUUGCUUUGGACUAGAUGCAAAAUGCCGGAAUAUCAAGGGGAUGUUUUUCACUUGAAGAAUUUUAAUGAAUAAAUGCUGUUCCGAUCCGUUACUUGUCUGCACUCUGAUUGCAACGGCAUUCUAGGGAGCAUGG